GAACUUGGUGAAGAUCUGGAUGAGGAAUAUGGGCAGACUGGAUUUUGUGCCUAAACCGUGGUAUCUGCUCUGCAUAGAGCAUUUUGCUACAAACUGCAUCGAUUUCCGGGACUUGAGAGCAAUGUUCCGGAAGGGAUCGGUCCCAAAGAUCUUCAACGAUGAUAAGGAAAACUUGCAUUUCCGUCCGAUACAGAACUUCAUGUACUUGCCUGUAAACGAUGAUCAAUUUUGUAUUUGAGAGAUGAAACUUGAUGGGUAUUUAAGUAGGCAAGAAGUAACCAAAAAGGACUCACCUACCACAACCCGGAUAGAAAUAGAAGGUCGACGUCAGGAAAUGCCAGCGACACGGAUGGAAGUGAUUUCCCACGGCCAUACCUAUGCAGAGUUUGGAGACCUCCUUUACUAUAAGAAGCAGUUAACUUUUCA